AUAGAAUUAACAUGAGAAUAUUUCUGUAAACAAAAAUUUUAUUAUUUUUUCAAAGAGAAUAUUUUAUGAUUCGAAGUUUGAAUUGCAAUUGUUUGGAAUAAAAAAUAAAAUUAUUUACUAUGUUUAAUCAUAUUUGGAUUCUUGUAGAUGCGCUGGUGGACUCGACACUCGACAUGGUUUCCAAACGAGACGAGGAAUGGAGUUCGAACAAUGGAGGCAGAUAUUGAUAGAUAUUAAACGCAAAAAAAAAAA